UACGUAGGGACCAAGCGUUGUCCGGAAUCAUUGGGCGUAAAGAGCGUGUAGGCGGCUUGUUAAGUCUUGCGUGAAAUCUCGGGGCUCAACCCCGAGCGGUCGUGAGAAACUGGCAGGCUAGAGUGCGGGAGAGGAGAGUGGAAUUCCUGGUGUAGCGGUGAAAUGCGCAGAUAUCUGGAGGAAUACCGGUGGCGAAGGCGGCAUCCUGGACCGAGAUUGACGCUGAUGAGCGAAAGCUAGGGGAGCAAACGGG
rnacentral:rRNA from 1 species